rnacentral:lncRNA from 1 species
GCGAGGCGUAGAAGUCCAGCGACAGCUCGUGCCACACCGGCGGGCGCCUAUUUCAUCUGCCGGCAGCAGCGCCCACGCCCGCGCCACCCCGCCCUCCUUCCGCCGCUGCCACCACCUCCUCUUCCUCAGAAGGAGAGCUGAUCGAUGCUCUCGCGGUCUCUCCUCCCAGAGCUCUUGAGAAUCAUGGAUGAUUCCAUGGAUUCUAGUCGUCCUCGCCGACGGUGGCAGUCCGACGGACUAGCUAGGCCAGGAUAAUUCAGGAUGGUGCCAGGUUAACGGGGCUUACAGGGGGUCGAAUUUGCCGUCGAUUCAGUUUGAUACUUGUCGGAUCUUGAGCUAUCUCUGGUAAUCUCUUCCUCUUCUCUAAGUUCGAUCUUUUGGUCUGGAACCUUGUCUGUCCCACGCCAGCUCGUCGUUUGUGGGUAGCAGCGACCCAAAAUCCCCAAAUCCCAAAUCAGAAGUGUGUUAGCACGAUAUGCUCUAAGCACAAGCUAUGAUCUUUGUCUAGGUAGUUUCUUGCAAACAUCACAAGUUCAGGAAAGGAAUUGAGAUCGGAGGCUCGCUUAUAUCAGUCACUUUUAACGUGGUGGCAAGUUUGGGGACAAUGGAUGCGACUGUCUUGAUCAAUGCGUCGGGGUCCUGCAUCCACGGCCAGGUUCUUCCUCUAAUCCUCUCCUCGUACCACUUGCCAUGGCCUCUGCGAGAUCAGCAACGGCCUGGUCGAGGCGGCGAUGAAACGCGGGCGCGAUUUUGGCGUGCUUCGCGAGGGCAUCCCCUCGCUCCCAUGGCUCGACGGAGCGCGGAGCGGCGGAUGAGUGACGACAUCCAGCCACGCCGGCAGCGGCUGCGCCUCCCGAGCGCGGCAAGUCGGCGCCACAGCGGCCGCUAGCAGGAAGCCGAGCAGCAGGAGUAGCCGCCAUCCGCGCGCGGGGCGUGGACAUGGGGGUCAUCGCCGCCGACGGGGAGCAGCGUGGGCGGGCAGGAGAGCAAGGCGGCGCAGUGGCGCCCGUCGAAGGUGCGCCCGUGGAGCACGGCGGCGACCGACGCGGCCGCUUCGGGGCGGAGGAAGUCGGCGCGGCAGAAGCCGCGGCCAUGGCAGAGAGGCGGGCGGCGGUGCUCGCCGUCGUGGCGCCAGCCGCCGCCACGGGCGAGGUCCGCCUGGACCACCGCCACAGCGGCCUCACACUGCCGUCCGGUUCCCCCUCCUCUUCUCACGCCGCGCGCCGCCGUGCAUCCUCCGCCGACGAGAGAGAGAUUAGGAAGAGAGAAACAGGGGGUAUGACAUGUGGGUCCCACCAUUUAAAAAAUAAAAUGCUGACUACACUGCCACGCGUACGCCACGUAGAUCAAAACCACCGCGGAUUGGAUCGAGGGGGGUAAUUCGUCCGGUUUGCAUAGUUGAGGGUGAAGAAUAUCCGGUUUUGUGGUUCAGGGGUAAUUCGGACGACCAUGAUAAUUUUGGGGGGAGUAAUUCGUACUUUUUCCUUUCUUAUAUUGUGCUAACAUUAUAACAUUUUUUAUUGGACUACUCGGUCUAAUAAAACCAUUUUUCACAUAUACUUGUAUUCAAUUAACUGCCAGCUCGAUACUCUUGCAAAUAGCUAAUUAAGAAUUUAAUGUGUUGAUUAAUAUAAUAUAGCUUUAACUAUAUGUUGUCAAUUCAUUAAAUAAAGUUGUUAAUCAUUUGACCGUCAUGUCUUUGUCGUAUCAAACUAAUUGAUCGAUGGAAUCGGUUAAAACUGCUUAUCUUUAUUCCUAUACAUUGUUAUAUCUAGGGUUUUCUAUUUCGGUAAGUGAACGUGGAUCAAAUUAAAACCUUAGCUUAGAAAGGAAUGCAUACAUAUAUUUAGACGCUUAGGGUGCGUGCACCAAAUUAGCUCUCUCUUCCCAUAGGUUUUGAAAGCAACAAUUAUAUGCCACACAUUAUAUGGUGAAAAGGUAGCUAGCCGCACAAGAUAAACAGCGAACCUACUAGUUAGGCUAGCUUUAUGGGGGGUGAUUAUUACAUUGUGAGAUUGGCUAAGAAAUAUCAAGUCUGUCAUCUCCCGCUGCAUGCCGCGUGCGUUCCUGUUAAUCUUUUCACUUUGGCUACAUGCUUUAAUUUCUAGUACUGUUUUAAUUUUAUAGAAUACAAUUUAAGUUUCCUUUCUGAUCGAUCAGGAUCAAAUCGAUUUUUUUUUUCAGAUUUUUCUCUAUUACCUCCAGAUCUACGCCGCCCUGCUUCCCCUCCUCGAUGAAGCGUCGGAUCCGCGAUUUCUCCUUCCCGUUGUCGGCGCAGCGCCACAGGAUACGGAGGGACCCAUCUCUGCCGGCUCAUCCUCCGC